UGGAGAGUUUGAUCCUGGCUCAGGACGAACGCUGGCGGCGUGCUUAACACAUGCAAGUCGAGCGGUAAGGCCCUUCGGGGUACACGAGCGGCGAACGGGUGAGUAACACGUGGGUGAUCUGCCUCGCACUCUGGGAUAAGCCUGGGAAACUGGGUCUAAUACCGGAUAUGACCACGGAUCGCAUGGUUUGUGGUGGAAAGAUUUAUCGGUGCGAGAUGGGCCCGCGGCCUAUCAGCUUGUUGGUGGGGUAAUGGCCUACCAAGGCGACGACGGGUAGCCGACCUGAGAGGGUGACCGGCCACACUGGGACUGAGACACGGCCCAGACUCCUACGGGAGGCAGCAGUGGGGAAUAUUGCACAAUGGGCGAAAGCCUGAUGCAGCGACGCCGCGUGAGGGAUGACGGCCUUCGGGUUGUAAACCUCUUUCGACAGGGACGAAGCGCAAGUGACGGUACCUGUAGAAGAAGCACCGGCCAACUACGUGCCAGCAGCCGCGGUA
rnacentral:rRNA from 1 species